CAACCUCUACUUUUACUUCUCGUAGGGAGCUCCAGGCCCCCAGGGUGCCAUGGGAUUUAGUGGUAGUAGAGGAGCUGAGGGAGCUCCAGGCCGAGAUGGCGCCGUAGGAGAAACUGGACCUCGGGGAGCAAAGGGUAGCCGAGGCGCAAGAGGUGAACAAGGA